ACUCCUACGGGAGGCAGCAGUGGGGAAUCUUGGACAAUGGGGGCAACCCUGAUCCAGCCAUGCCGCGUGGGUGAAGAAGGCCUUAGGGUUGUAAACCCCUUUCAGCGGGGAAGAUAAUGACGGUACCCGCAGAAGAAGCCCCGGCUAACUCCGUGCCAGCAGCCGCGGUAAUACGGAGGGGCUAGCGUUGUUCGGAAUUACUGGGCGUAAAGCGCGCGUAGGCGGACUUUCAAGUCAGGGGUGAAAUCCCGAGGCUCAACCUCGGAACUGCCUCUGAUACUGUAAGUCUUGAGUCCGAGAGAGGUGAGUGGAAUUCCUAGUGUAGAGUGAAAUUCGUAGAUAUUAGGAAGAACACCAGUGGCGAAGGCGGCUCACUGGCUCGGUACUGACGCUGAGGCGCGAAAGCGUGGGGGAGCAAACAGGAUUAGAUACCCUGGUAGGCUC
rnacentral:rRNA from 1 species